rnacentral:ncRNA from 2 species
UUUAGAUUCAUGUAGAAAACUUAUAUAUGCUCAUAAUCGGAUGAGUGUUUCUACCAACUACCGCAAUAGUUGACUAUGAGUUUUCGCAUCCCUGCC